AAAACCAUGAUUAUCCCUAUUUUACAGAGAAGGAAAAGAGACUUCAAAUGAUGACGUGACCUGCCUGUCCCAGCCUGUAAAAGCAGAGCUGGAAUGUGAGCCCAGAAACUUCCUGAACUACCAUGCUUCAAGGAAAGGCCAAGAAAGGAGGAAAGCGACUACUGAGUAUAUCAACGGAAUGAAUACCCUGCUUGGUUUUGUUCAGAACUUUUGGAAAAGUCGUUCACCGUCGUAGAAAAUGGCACGAGCAAUGCCCACACCACUCACGGAAGCCGAGUCUCCACACGGCAAAGCUGUGUGGCCCUGCCCUGGGGGCCCCCAGAUUCACAAAGUCUCUGGGUCUGCACCCUCCCUCCUGGAACGUCCUUACUUAUUUCUUCCAAAUAUGGUCCUGCUGAGUGCUUGCCUGUUGAAGUACACCUUAUUUUAUUAGGUGCCAAGUAGGAAGGCUCAACCCACCUUCCGGGGCUCGGUCUAACAAAAUGUGAACUCAUCAGAAGACAAGUAGGUGGGC
rnacentral:lncRNA from 1 species